CAUUGGAAGCUCAACAAAAUAACGGAGAGAUAGUUGCUGAAGGAAGAAAUGACAUUUUAGCAAAAGUUAUUACGAAAAAAGAGCAUGGUGGUUGUGUAAGAGCCGUUGGAUCAGGCAUAACAAAUAAGGAGUACUUUGGCUUCAACAAACCAGCACCACCUAAAGAAUUACACUCUGUAAUCAAUCGUAUGCACACAAAAAUGAUGGGCACGGAGAAAAAGCAGAAUUAUAUGAUGUCUUUUAUAAUGACGUGCUGUCAAUUGAAUCAGGAGCAAUUAUGUGACUUCAUGACAAAAUUUGGUAAUUGUGUUGGCCAGGGAAUGGGUGGUGGUAAGGAUUUUGGGUCUGAUUCCCAUCUUAGUGAUUCUACUACACAAAAAGAAAAAAGUGGUAAUGGUGGAAAAGGAUCAAGUUUUAUCCCAUUUGCAAGUUUAGGAGUUCAAGAUGUGCAAUCUGAACUUGUAACUAGUCGUGGUGGUGACAUUGUUGACAAUGAAGCAAGGAAAGAAUUUAUUACAAAUGAAGAGCAUGAUAAUAGUGAGGAGCAUGGAUUUGAAAAGGAACAGGUUCAUGAACCAGGUAUAAAAGAUCGUCAUACUAACAUUGAUGAUUGUGAACCAUAAUUUGUUCAAUUGCCUGAUUCCGAAGCGCAACCCAUACCUUACAAUUUUCAAACUUCUCCUUUUAUUGAGGGAUGGAAUGAUUGUUACUUGGGGCUAGAGGGAAAUGAAGGGAUAGAUAUUGUUGCCAUGGCACAGGUUUAUAUACCGAAAGCAAUAGAAAUUGUGAAGAAUCAUAGGGCCCCUAUGCCAAGUGGUCAUUAUCGAGUCAAUAUUCAAACGGAUAUCAAGCCUAGUGCACUUUUGCCAUAUCCUAAUGAGGAAAUGACACUAGUUUGUCAAGCUAAGAAAUCUUUUAUUCCUUGGUCGUGUCACUUCAUUUUCCCAUUUCCCAGUGAUGCACAGAAGCAAGAUGCAAACAAUUCCAUCUCAAAAUCUCAAAAUUCACCUUCAUCCUAUUUUCAAACUAAGGACGCAGCUGCACAGCAAGAUGAUGGAAACAAACUCAUCUCACCAUCUCUGAAAUCACCUUCAUCAAUUUCAUCAUCAAAUCAGAAGUACCAAAUCACUGAUAAAGAUCGUGCCAAGCUGACCAUAAACUUGGUAAAAAGUUUUAAAUUUGAAGCUUUAGCAAUGAGAAAAAGUGAAGAACAAAUCACUAUAGAAAUACCAGACUAUGUGUUCCGCAAUAAGCAUACUGUUGACAUUGAUUGCAUAGACAUGCUUGAUUGAUGUUAUCAACGAGAAGUAGGAGUAGGGCACCUUUCAAUUUUUAUGAAGUAUUUGAGUGAAUUUUGUCAAGAAGAAGAUAUCUCCGGAAUGUAUGGUUUUUGUGAUGCUAAUAUGUUUUCUCCAUUAUCACCAAUAGAGAUCGAAGAGGAUCGAUCUAACUACUUCGCUAGCAUUUUCGCAUGCAAUAAUGCUAAGAACAAAAACCAAUUAUUCAUGGCACCUUAUUACGAAAAUCGGCAUUGGAUGUUAGUAAUUAUUAGUCCAUGGAAGGGAUUGGUUUAUUGACUAGAUCCUGCUGGUGUGGAAAAUAAAGUGCGUGAAAAUGCUCGUAAAAUUAUUUAUGAGGGGCUUGUGAAGUUUAGCAUGGUCCAUUGAAAGGAUCUCAAAAAAGUUAAAAAGAAUCCUAAAGUUGGUUGGAACAAACUAAAAUCCUCGUCAACCUCAAGACGCCAAAUACUAUGGAUAUUAUGUAUGCCGUUAUAUGCUUGAGACUAUUGAAAGUAGGCAACAAUUGAUUUUGGAGGAGUUUUCCCCUGGUGCUCCUUCACCUUAUUCUCAAGAGAGCAUUGAUCAAGUUCGAGAUUUAUGGAUUUCUUACGUUGUCAAACAUAGGCCAAAAAAAUUGGAGAAGGAAGCAGAAGAUUUGGAUGAUGUGUUAUAAGAUCAUAUCAAUGGGAAUUAUUAAAGAUUAGAAUUCAUGAAGAAUUCUGAUGACAUUUGACUUUUGGAAUAAGAUAAUUGUAUAGUUGAAUUCUAGUCUAAUUAUAUGAUGAAAUGGUUUAUAAUUUUUGCUCUUGGUAUAGCAUGUAUGAACGUGUAUA